AGAGUUUGAUCCUGGCUCAGAUUGAACGCUGGCGGCAUGCCUAACACAUGCAAGUCGAACGGAAACGAUGGGAGCUUGCUCCCAGGCGUCGAGUGGCGGACGGGUGAGUAAUACUUAGGAAUCUACCCAGUAGCGGGGGACAACUCGAGGAAACUCGAGCUAAUACCGCAUACGCCCUACGGGGGAAAGCAGGGGAUCUUCGGACCUUGCACUAUUGGAUGAGCCUAAGUCGGAUUAGCUUGUUGGUGAGGUAAAGGCUCACCAAGGCGACGAUCCGUAGCUGGUCUGAGAGGACGAUCAGCCACACUGGGACUGAGACACGGCCCAGACUCCUACGGGAGGCAGCAGUGGGGAAUAUUGGACAAUGGGGGCAACCCUGAUCCAGCAAUACCGCGUGUGUGAAGAAGGCCUGCGGGUUGUAAAGCACUUUCAGUAGAGAAGAAAAUCUUAGGGUUAAUACCCCUGGGUCUUGACUUAACCUACAGAAGAAGCACCGGCUAACUCCGUGCCAGCAGCCGCGGUAAUACGGGGGGUGCAAGCGUUAAUCGGAAUUACUGGGCGUAAAGCGCGCGUAGGCGGUCUGGUCAGUCGGAUGUGAAAGCCCCCGGCUUAACCCUGGGAAUGGCAUUCGAUACUGCCCGACUAGAAUAUGGAAAAAGGAAAGUGGAAUUUCCGGUGUAACCGUUGAAAUGCGUAGAG
rnacentral:rRNA from 1 species